CAGUUGACCCAAGGCGCAGGCCUCUGCAGCUCCAGCUUGAGUCACCCAAUUGGCCCUGCCCAGGACUGAUCCAUCCUCAGGAAUGGUUCUGACGACAGAAGAGUGUCCAGGAAGGCUGGCUCACCCCAGCUCUCCCAUACCUGCUCUUUAGCUCACGUGUGUAUAUGACAGGAUGACUGCGGUGGGGUCUCUCACCGGCGGGCUGUGGGGGCCCUCGAGGCAGGUCCAGCUCUGGUGGGUGGCUGCUCCGUGUGAUGAUGACCGGCUCCUCCAUCACGUUGAUGCUGUUACACUGCAUGAGGUCCUGCAGCAGGUUGAAGAUAUCCUCUGCCCUCGAACACUUGAAUGCAAAGAUGCCUGGGGAAGGACGAGAAAGACGGCAUGACAUGUAAAAGCUGGACAAGACCUGAAGGACAGAAGUGGUGAUACGUGGCUGUAAUCCCACACUUGGGAGGGAUGAGGUUCAUGCCAGGAAAGGCCCUUCAGCAAUCAACCCAGAACACGCAUUGCUUUGUGCUGUCUUGGGAGAGACAGCUCUGUCUGCGUGCAGCACAGUCCCAAGAAGGACUCCUUG
rnacentral:lncRNA from 1 species